AAAAGAUUACUCUUGUCGGGUAUUGGGAAAAAGUAAAAUACUCGCAAAUCGAGAAGAAUAUUACCAGCGAUUGGGUAAUAGACUCUUAGGGGACCAAAAGCAUCUAUCUAGGUAAGAGCUAGAAAGAAACGGUCAAUUAAAUACUCAACCCAAUGAGGAUAUAGCUCAGGGGGAGUGGUUCCAUCCAGAUAAUCAACUGGGGAGGAAACUGAAAUAAUCAUC
rnacentral:lncRNA from 1 species